rnacentral:rRNA from 1 species
CUCAGGACGAACGCUGGCGGCGUGCCUAAUACAUGCAAGUCGAGCGAGCGGAACUAACAGAUUUACUUCGGUAAUGACGUUAGGAAAGCGAGCGGCGGAUGGGUGAGUAACACGUGGGGAACCUGCCCCAUAGUCUGGGAUACCACUUGGAAACAGGUGCUAAUACCGGAUAAGAAAGCAGAUCGCAUGAUCAGCUUUUAAAAGGCGGCGUAAGCUGUCGCUAUGGGAUGGCCCCGCGGUGCAUUAGCUAGUUGGUAAGGUAAAGGCUUACCAAGGCGAUGAUGCAUAGCCGAGUUGAGAGACUGAUCGGCCACAUUGGGACUGAGACACGGCCCAAACUCCUACGGGAGGCAGCAGUAGGGAAUCUUCCACAAUGGACGCAAGUCUGAUGGAGCAACGCCGCGUGAGUGAAGAAGGUUUUCGGAUCGUAAAGCUCUGUUGUUGGUGAAGAAGGAUAGAGGUAGUAACUGGCCUUUAUUUGACGGUAAUCAACCAGAAAGUCACGGCUAACUACGUGCCAGCAGCCGCGGUAAUACGUAGGUGGCAAGCGUUGUCCGNAUUUAUUGGGCGUAAAGCGAGCGCAGGCGGAAGAAUAAGUCUGAUGUGAAAGCCCUCGGCUUAACCGAGGAACUGCAUCGGAAACUGUUUUUCUUGAGUGCAGAA